GAAUCUUGCGCAAUGGGGGCAACCCUGACGCAGCGACGCCGCGUGAAGGAUGAAGGCCCUCGGGUUGUAAACUUCAAUAAGCAGGGAAGAAUUUUGACGGUACCUGCUGACAGCACCGGCUAAAUACGUGCCAGCAGCCGCGGUAAUACGUAUGGUGCAAGCGUUGUUCGGAUUUACUGGGCGUAAAGAGCGCGCAGGCGGAUUAUUAAGUCGGGUGUGAAAUCUCCAGGCUUAACCUGGAGGCUGCAUCCGAAACUGGUGAUCUGGAGUCCCGGAGAGGCAGACGGAAUACUUGGUGUAGCGGUGAAAUGCGUAGAUAUCAAGUGGAACACCGAUGGCGAAGGCAGUCUGCUGGACGGUGACUGACGCUGAGGCACGAAAGCGUGGGGAUCAAACAGG
rnacentral:rRNA from 1 species